rnacentral:rRNA from 1 species
CGUAACGUCAGUCGGCUAUAGGCUUGACGUGGAGGGAGGGAGGGACUUGCUCCUUAAUGUUAGCGGCGGACGGGUGAGUAACACGUGGGUAACCUGCCUGUAAGACUGGGAUAACUCCGGGAAACCGGAGCUAAUACCGGAUAGUUCCUUGAACCGCAUGGUUCAAGGAUGAAAGACGGUUUCGGCUGUCACUUACAGAUGGACCCGCGGCGCAUUAGCUAGUUGGUGGGGUAAUGGCUCACCAAGGCGACGAUGCGUAGCCGACCUGAGAGGGUGAUCGGCCACACUGGGACUGAGACACGGCCCAGACUCCUACGGGAGGCAGCAGUAGGGAAUCUUCCGCAAUGGACGAAAGUCUGACGGAGCAACGCCGCGUGAGUGAUGAAGGUUUUCGGAUCGUAAAGCUCUGUUGUUAGGGAAGAACAAGUGCGAGAGUAACUGCUCGCACCUUGACGGUACCUAACCAGAAAGCCACGGCUAACUACGUGCCAGCAGCCGCGGUAAUACGUAGGUGGCAAGCGUUGUCCGGAAUUAUUGGGCGUAAAGGGCUCGCAGGCGGUUUCUUAAGUCUGAAUGUGAAGCCCCCKGCUCAACCGGGGAGGGUCAUUGGAAACUGGGAAACUUGAGUGCAGAAGAGGAGAGUGGAAUCCACGUGUAGCGGUGAAAUGCGUAGAGAUGUGGAGGAACACCAGUGGCGAAGGCGACUCUCUGGUCUGUAACUGACGCUGAGGAGCGAAAGCGUGGGGAGCGAACAGGAUUAGAUACCUGGUAGUCACGCCGUAAACGAUGAGUGCUAAGUGUUARGGGGUUUCCGCCCCUUAGUGCUGCAGCUAACGCAUUAAGCACUCCGCCUGGGGAGUACGGUCGCAAGACUGAAACUCAAAGGAAUUGACGGGGGCCGCACAAAGCUGGUGGAGCAUGUGGUUUAAUUCGAAGCAACGCGAAGAACCUUACCAGGUCUUGACAUCCUCUGACAACCCUAGAGAUAGGGCUUUCCCUUCGGGGACAGAGUGACAGGUGGUGCAUGGUUGUCGUCAGCUCGUGUCGUGAGAUGUUGGGUUAAGUCCCGCAACGAGCGCAACCCUUGAUCUUAGUUGCCAGCAUUCAGUUGGGCACUCUAAGGUGACUGCCGGUGACAAACCGGAGGAAGGUGGGGAUGACGUCAAAUCAUCAUGCCCCUUAUGACCUGGGCUACACACGUGCUACAAUGGACAGAACAAAGGGCUGCAAGACCGCAAGGUUUAGCCAAUCCCAUAAAUCUGUUCUCAGUUCGGAUCGCAGUCUGCAACUCGACUGCGUGAAGCUGGAAUCGCUAGUAAUCGCGGAUCAGCAUGCCGCGGUGAAUACGUUCCCGGGCCUUGUACACACCGCCCGUCACGCCACGAGAGUUGGCAACACCCGAAGUCGGGGAGGUAUACUUUAUGGACCAGCCGCCGAAGGUGGGGCAGGUGCUGGUGGAAGUCUCCUAGAGUAACG